CCAGAAUGUAUAUAUAGAGGUCAGAAUACAUUGAGGCAAUGUCAUUUUGAUCGGUGUCUGUGAGUGGAUUGGUGUGCAGCCUUAGUUUCAAAUUUAAACGCGAGUUUUAUAUCAAGAACUUACAAAAUGAAGAACUACUUCUUCACCGUAAUGAUGAUCAUAGCGAUGUUCUUCAUCAUCAUCGGCACAGGAGCUAAAGCGCAGGAGUUCCAAUCGAGAUGCCCACCAAACUACGAAUAUGUCGCCAUCUUCAAAACUUGCGUUAACAAGGAUAGAUAUUACAACUGAAAUGAUAAAUUAAUUUGUUAAAUUCCAAUUCAAUUCAAAUUCAAAAAUGUCUUUAUUCAGUAGGUAACAUAGUUACACUUUGAAUCGUCAAUUUUUACAUAACGAACGUCUCAUCCGCCUAAAACUACUGCAGCUUCUCACAACCUGUACAGCCGGGGAAAAGAAGCUGCAAGAAAAACCUCGGCACAGGGCCCUAGACGUUCUUUAAAAAAAUAAAAAUAAACAUAAAAUAUUGGUAUACAAUUGAGUAAUUUAGCUGCCUAAUAUUAGUUCUCAGACAGUUAAUCCCAUGCAUUCAUAUCUUCUAAAUAAUCACUAACUUUAUAAUAACCUUUUUUGUAAAGUUUUUGUUUAACUACUGUCUUAAAACAGUUGAAAGGCAAAUUCUGAAUGUCAAUGGGAAUCUACAAGUACAAGUUAAUUUUAUAUUUGGCUUUUUGGCGGGAAACGGGAACGGGACAGUUGCUUUCUUCAUUGAAUAAUCUAAAUAAUUAAUACGAAGUGGUGUUUUGUGGUUAAUGAUCGCAUUAAGUUAGUCGGAAGACAUUCGCGAGUGUUAUUAUAUCGGAGUAUUCAAUAAACAAAGUGUAUCUGCCUAUUUUCGCUUCGUGGCAGGAAACCGCUUCAUAACUCGAAAGUUUAUGCGGACUUUUGAGUUAAUUCGUUUGGGGUUCAGAGUAGGAGUCUACUCCAAGGGUGGGGGCUUAGGUUUCAUCAUCAUUAUCUUUCAUCAUUUCAUCAAUCAUCAAGAAAAAAAAUACGUAAGACAUGGCUGUAUGGGCAUAGUUCCCUUUGCCUUACCCUUCGGGGAAAACCAAAACAAAAAGAAAAUAAUUUUAUAUUUGCUAUUGAUCGUUUACUGGGGGGGUUAAAAAGGCCACACACGACACUUCCUUUUACACGAAUGCCUCAUAAUGAUGAAAUCCAGUUUGUUUCUGACCUUUGAUCGUUGUACAAAAUGAAAUAGUCUAUUUAGUUGUUUAGUAUUUCAAUGGUAGCGAUUCUAGCGGACUAAACUUAAUUUUAUUUUUGUUUAAUUUUAUUUUAAGUAUGUACCUAUGUAUUUUCUGUCUUGUUGUUUAUAUGUAUUAAUAUAAUUUGACAUAUAAAGGGGGUAAUUUAUUCAGAAAUAAUAAUAAUAAAAAACACAAUGUAAAUCCACCACAGGCUUCGUCUUCGUUGUUUGACAUAUUGUAUAUUAUUUUGUUUUUUAAGUUGUAAAUAAAUAAUAAUUUUGUAGAUAUUAAUAGAACUUUAUGUACUUGAAUAAAAAAAUAUAUUGGCGUCCCUUUUUAAUAUUAGGUACUCUAUUUUAUUUCUAGUUUUCAAAUCGAUUUAUUUUAUUUUCAGAUAAUAUUAAAAUGUUCCAUAAUAAAAUUCACGUCUGCUAAAAUGGGCGCCAUUAGAUACUUUAUUAUUUAGUUUUUAAGAACAUUAAAAUAAAAAUAAAAAAAUUAAGUAUAUA
rnacentral:lncRNA from 1 species